ACGGGUCUAGCUCAGUUGGUAGAGCAUCGGUCUCCAAAACCGAGUGUCGGGAGUUCGAGUCUCUCGACCCGUGCAA
rnacentral:tRNA from 1 species